UUGUUAUUUGUAUUCAUGUCACAUCUCGGAGCCACAAUCAUGGCCCCAUUGUGCUAGGCGCUGCAGCCCCACAGAGCUUCCCAACUAGUUUAAAAUAACAGAAGAGGCGAAACGCUAAAGCUGGAACACAAGGUUUUGAAGCUCUCCUGUGAGGGCGUCGAUGAAAUCGAUAUGUUCUCACCAAGCAUUGCAGUUUUGUCCAAGCAGCGUUUUCUGUCGGAAGGUUUCCCACCUGCUCUCGUUUUCAGUGGAUAUGCGCUAAGAUUGGCCCUCGUAGCAAGGGGCUUUGUCCAACAAUGUAAUCCAGGGCAUGCUGCUUUUGGAAACGUCUCGCCAGGCUUUCCGAGUAUUUGUAUCCUAUUGCUUCCCACGGAUGUUUAGAGCGUUUCUGCCUUGCACUACAACAGAGUCGCUAUAUUAUAAUGUGACGCCAGCCCGAGCAACUGGCCACACUGAAUCCGAGAGGCUCAUUUGCUUUUGUUUUAUGAGCUCCAUCUGCCAUCCCUGAAGCACAGGCUGGGUAGGAACCGCAGCUAGCCUGCAGCCACCCUGCUUAUAGGCCUCAGCAGUGCAAAGGAGCUCCCACACGCUCACUCACACAGGUGCUCCAUGCCCUGUGGGUCUAUACAGUGCCAGGGGCGUGGGAACGGGAGGGGGAGCAGGGGGCCAUGGCUAUGUCCUCCCACUUUUUACAGGGCAAGGGCAAGCGAUGGGGCGGGGCGGAGAGGAGUGAGCAGGGGGCGGGGCCUUGGGGGAAGAAGAGGCAGUGUGAGGGCAGGGGCUUGGGGAGAAGGGGCAGCGUGGGGAGGCGGGGCCACGGUUCGGAUGCUGGUGUCCCCCCCCUUUCAGGGAACUUCCGCCGCUCCUGUACAGUGCUAGAUGGAGAAAAUCCCACUGAUCCAUUCGCUGCUGGUAAGAUGCGGAUUUGUUCUGAAUACCAAGAAGGGACCGUUUAGUCUAACCGGAGGCAGACCCAAGGAACUGAGCGACUUUGAGCAUCCAGUGCUGCUUGAUUUCUCGUUACGCGAGAUUUUAAACCCAACCUUGCCAACCAGCAGCCAUUUUAACAGUGGCAGCACCUCCAUCUCUUUCCUCCAGCAAAGGAGAUGGGCCCCAGAUGAAACGCACAUUCCCAGGUUUGUACACUUCCUCGCCUGGCGACACGGGCGUGCCAGGGGCUCACCGCAGACAGAAGCUGCUUUGGGGGCCGAUCACCCCAGAACCGCAGCAAGCAAGACUGGCGGCUUCCCUGACUAUUUUUCCAAGCAUACCACAACUCGCAGAAAAGCUGCUGCCGAAAUUAACGCGGUCAGGGGCUGCCACUGACUGAGAUCCCACCGUGCCCCACGCAGAACGUCAAAGCUGGGCAAAGGAGGCGUCUCAGAAGGGCAGACCCGGCCUUGUAACAGUCUCCCGCCCGCCCCGUCUGCCUGGUAACUAUAAACGAGUUCGGGGCACUAGUUACAGCGUGGCUGCCUGCCACAACACGGUAGAAGUUUAGACACUUUAAGGCCAGACGGGACCAUUCUGAUCAUCCUGUCUGACCUCCUGAAUAGCCCAGGCCAGGCACCCUCACCCAGGGAUCCCUGCACUGAGGCCAGAACUGCUGGCACAGCAGAGCUGCCAGAUGAUGGCGAAUCUGCUCCAUCCCGGGGUCAGCUAAUUCCCCUGCCUGUUAACAUACGAGCCUUGCCUCCAGUUGGAAAUUGUCUAGCUGCCAGCCAUUGGCUCUCAUGCAGACUUGGUCUGCUCGAACCUUCUGCUGUCAGACAGCUCCCCUCUUUACCUUCUCGUGAAUCCUUUGGCUGUGACUACACGAAGUCUUUACUCCUCGGGGAAUUUUGCGCCACUGCGUGUGCGCAGAAUUCAUCUCCCCCACAGAUUUAUUUGCCUCCCUGCAGAAAAAUGACUUUCUUACCGGAAAGCAAAGGGAUGCUGUAAGAGCAGUCAUGCACCCCUCCCUAGCAGCACAGCUACAUCGUUUCAGGCACCCGGAGCAGUCGGCGGAGAGGUAAAUCACCGCAGGGCUGGGGACACCCCAACCGGUGGCUCCUACCCUGCUCCGGGAUCAGAUGCUACUCUGGGCUGAGCUGGAGAGGACAGGGCUUCCUCUUCCCCUGCAAGGAGUGGCUGGGGCUGUGUCAGACCCACCCCCAGAAACCUCCCCCAGCUGCAGGAAGCUCAUCAACCUCCCCUCCUUCCAGCCCCUAUCGCUCCUCAGCCGCA
rnacentral:lncRNA from 1 species